rnacentral:RNase_P_RNA from 1 species
GGCGGAGGGAAGCUCAUCAGUGGGGCCACGAGCUGAGUGCGCGUCGUCACUCCCGCCUGUCCCUUGGGAAGGUCUGAGACUAGGGCCACCACCCGCAGCCCUAGCAGGGCUCUCCCUGAGCCCGGGGAGGUGAGUUCCCAGAGAGCAGGGCUCCGCGCGAGGGCAGACUGGGCAGGAGAAGCCGGUGCCUCCGGGCGGUCCGGCGGAUGCCUCCCUAACCGGAGCUUGGAACAGACUCACGGCCAGCCACGCGAGUUCAAUGGCUGAGGUGAGGCAACGAGAGCCUCAUAACCCAAUUCAGACUACUCUCCCCCGCC